GAUGAACGCUGGCGGCGUGCCUAAUACAUGCAAGUCGAGCGAACGGACGAGAAGCUUGCUUCUCUGAUGUUAGCGGCGGACGGGUGAGUAACACGUGGAUAACCUACCUAUAAGACUGGGAUAACUUCGGGAAACCGGAGCUAAUACCGGAUAAUAUUUUGAACCGCAUGGUUCAAAAGUGAAAGACGGUCUUGCUAUCACUUAUAGAUGGAUCCGCGCUGCAUUAGCUAGUUGGAAGGUAACGGCUUACCAAGGCAACGAUGCAUAGCCGACCUGAGAGGGUGAUCGGCCACACUGGAACUGAGACACGGUCCAGACUCCUACGGGAGGCAGCAGUAGGGAAUCUUCCGCAAUGGGCGAAAGCCUGACGGAGCAACGCCGCGUGAGUGAUGAAGGUCUUCGGAUCGUAAAACUCUGUUAUUAGGGAAGAACAUAUGUGUAAGUAACUGUGCACAUCUUGACGGUACCUAAUCAGAAAGCCACGGCUAACUACGUG
rnacentral:rRNA from 1 species